GGCUUCCUACGGGGCGCAGCAGUAGGGAAUUUUCGUCAAUGGGCGCAAGCCUGAACGAGCGAUGCCGCGUGAGUGAAGAAGGCCUUCGGGUCGUAAAGCUCUGUUGCGGGGGAAAAAAGGCAGCAUCAGGAAAUGGGUGCUGACUGAUGGUGCCCCGCCAGAAAGUCACGGCUAACUACGUGCCAGCAGCCGCGGUCAUACGUAGGCGGCGAGCGUUAUCCGGAAUGAUUGGGCGUAAAGGGUGCGCAGGCGGUCGUGCAAGUC
rnacentral:rRNA from 1 species